GGGUGUGAGAGCAAUCUGCUGUGACAUCUGUCACUCCUUUGAUCGCCAGGCUUGAUGUGGUCCAUCUGGGUGGCUCUUCACCCUUACUGUGCCAGGGCAUCCUGCCCAAUGCCCUGUACUUGGUUGAAAAGGAUGAGCUUCCCUGAUACAGGAGCCCUAUUUCCUCAGGCAGCGGUAUGAGAGUAGCACACUCUCCUUCUACAGCCUCCACACAAUCUCUGGAGAACAUGAGUGGACAGAAUACAUUGUCUCCAUUCAGGGAUCAUCGAACGAUGACUCAGGCUAAUGGAAUGACUCGGGUU
ensembl:misc_RNA 7SK 7SK RNA